rnacentral:rRNA from 1 species
UAAGGAAUAUUGGACAAUGGACGCAAGUCUGAACCAGCCAUGCCGCGUGAAGGAUGAAGGUCCUCUGGAUUGUAAACUUCUUUUAUCUGGGACGAAAACGGGAUUUUUAUCUCAAUUGACGGUACCAGAGGAAUAAGCACCGGCUAACUCCGUGCCAGCAGCCGCGGUAAUACGGAGGGUGCGAGCGUUAUCCGGAUUUACUGGGUUUAAAGGGUGCGUAGGUGGGCUUAUAAGUCAGUGGUGAAAUCUCCGAGCUUAACUUGGAAACUGCCGUUGAUACUAUAGGUCUUGAAUUAUCUGGAGGUAAGCGGAAUAUGUCAUGUAGCGGUGAAAUGCUUAGAUAUGACAUAGAACACCCAUUGCGAAGGCAGCUUACUACAUAUAAAUUGACGCUGAGGCACGAAAGCGUGGGGAUCAAACA